CGGUCUACCACCGGGAUGUUCAUAACCCUUUGUUGUCCGACUCUGUUGCCUCCGGGGCGACCCUGCCUUCGGGCGGGGGCUCCGGGUGGACACUUCAAACUCUUGCGUAACUUUGCAGUCUGAGUAAACUUAAUUAAUAAAUUAAAACUUUUAACAACGGAUCUCUUGGUUCUGGCAUCGAUGAAGAACGCAGCGAAAUGCGAUAAGUAAUGUGAAUUGCAGAAUUCAGUGAAUCAUCGAAUCUUUGAACGCACAUUGCGCCCCCUGGUAUUCCGGGGGGCAUGCCUGUUCGAGCGUCAUUUCACCACUCAAGCCUCGCUUGGUAUUGGGCAACGCGGUCCGCCGCGUGCCUCAAAUCGACCGGCUGGGUCUUCUGUCCCCUAAGCGUUGUGGAAACUAUUCGCUAAAGGGUGCUCGGGAGGCUACGCCGUAAAACAAACCCAUUUCUAAGGUUGACCUCGGAUCAGGUAGGGAUACCCGCUGAACUUAAGCAUAUCAAUAAGCGGAGGAA
rnacentral:rRNA from 1 species